rnacentral:rRNA from 1 species
UACGUAGGGUCCGAGCGUUGUCCGGAAUCAUUGGGCGUAAAGCGCGUGUAGGCGGCUCGAUAAGUCCGCUCUGAAAGUCCGGGGCUCAACCCCGGGAGGCGGGUGGAUACUGUCGAGCUCGAGUCCGGAAGAGGCAAGUGGAAUUCCCGGUGUAGCGGUGAAAUGCGCAGAUAUCGGGAGGAACAUCAGUGGCGAAGGCGGCUGCCUGGCCCAAUACUGACACUCAGGUGCGACAGCGUGGGGAGCAAACAGG